rnacentral:lncRNA from 1 species
GUUAUUUUGACUACGGUAUAAAAUUUCUUACUAGGUGUUUUUAGUAAGGUGGAGUCAAAAGAGAGUUAUUUCUUUUGAGUGUUUAGUAGUCACUUUGAGUCUUGUAUUGUGACUACGGUGUAAAAAUUCCUUACUACGAUAAUAUUAGUUGCUCCUCUUGGUCCGUGGUUUUUCUCCCUCACUUAGAAGGGUUUCCACGUAAAAUUCUCAGUGUCAUUAUUUUAAUAUUAAAUAAGACUAGAAAAAGAGAAUUCCUUUUGGUUAAGAUAAAGAUUAAUGGAUAGAAAGAUUCAUGGGUCGAAGCGACCUAUUAUUUUAC